UACGAAGGGAGCUAGCGUUGUUCGGAAUUACUGGGCGUAAAGGGCGCGUAGGCGGUUUAGCAAGUUGGAUGUGAAAGCCCAGGGCUCAACCCUGGAACUGCAUUCAAGACUGCUUUACUUGAAUUCGGUAGAGGUUAGUGGAAUUCCCAGUGUAGAGGUGAAAUUCGUAGAGAUUGGGAAGAACACCCGUGGCGAAGGCGGCUAACUGGACCGACAUUGACGCUGAGGCGCGAAAGCGUGGGGAUCAAACAGG
rnacentral:rRNA from 1 species